CAUGGAAUGUUUAUGUCUUUUUAAUUUUUAUGCAUAUUUAGUGCCAAGGCCUGCUGAAGGAGGAACCAAUGCUUAUGUCCCCUCUGUAUUUAUUCCAGUCUCCAAAAUUCUGAAUGACUCCACAGAUCCGUCUUCUCCAGCAGAACUUCUCCCCAUGUCUCCAAGUGUCUAUGCUGUCUUGAGAGAACAUUUAAGUCCUACUGUCAUGGAAACUGCCAUGAAUUCUCCAUAUUCGGCUGACUGACACUCGGAUAGAGAAGAUAAUAAAUACAUCCUGUAAAUACAUUUUUAAAAAGGACUUACCUGGCAGUUUGUUUGUUUUUUAGUGCCCUUUGGAAUAAAUGUUUCAUGAAGACGCAAA